UAACACAUGCAAGUCGAACGAAGCACCUUAUUCUGAUUUCUUCGGAAUGAAAAAUUUGGUGACUGAGUGGCGGACGGGUGAGUAACGCGUGGGUAACCUGCCUCAUACAGGGGGAUAACAGUUAGAAAUGACUGCUAAUACCGCAUAAGACCACAGCACCGCAUGGUGCAGGGGUAAAAACUCCGGUGGUAUGAGAUGGACCCGCGUCUGGUUAGGUAGUUGGUGGGGUAACGGCCUACCAAGCCGACGAUCAGUAGCCGACCUGAGAGGGUGACCGGCCACAUUGGGACUGAGACACGGCCCAAACUCCUACGGGAGGCAGCAGUGGGGAAUAUUGCACAAUGGGGGAAACCCUGAUGCAGCGACGCCGCGUGAGCGAUGAAGUAUUUCGGUAUGUAAAGCUCUAUCAGCAGGGAAGAAAAUGACGGUACCUGACUAAGAAGCACCGGCUAAAUACGUGCCAGCAGCCGCGGUAAUACGUAUGGUGCAAGCGUUAUCCGGAUUUACUGGGUGUAAAGGGAGCGUAGACGGAGUGGCAAGUCUGAUGUGAAAACCCGGGGCUCAACCCCGGGACUGCAUUGGAAACUGUCAAUCUAGAGUACCGGAGAGGUAAGCGGAAUUCCUAGUGUAGCGGUGAAAUGCGUAGAUAUUAGGAGGAACACCAGUGGCGAAGGCGG
rnacentral:rRNA from 1 species